rnacentral:rRNA from 1 species
CGUGUAGGCGGCUUGGUAAGUCAGAUGUGAAAGCCCUGGGCUCAACCCAGGAGGUGCAUUUGAAACUACCAGACUUGAGUACGGGAGAGGAGGGGGGAAUUCCCGGUGUAGAGGUGAAAUUCGUAGAUAUCGGGAGGAAUACCGGUGGCGAAGGCGCCCCUCUGGACCGAUACUGACGCUGAGACGCGAAAGCGUGGGGAGCAAACA